UCUAGCUGGCUUAGCUCUAAAAUUCAUCAAAAUUAAAAUGCUAAUAUUUUUCGUUUUUUAUUUAUAUUUUGGUACUGCAUCCUGUUUAUUUAUUCUGGAAGCUCGUUCUUGGGACGCAUAAUUUUACGAACCAGUUUAAAAAUAGAUGCACUGCGAAUCUUUUUUUACCAGUUGAAUCCAUUUGAGCCUGAAUAAAUUUGAUAUCUCACAAGCCAUUUGAUUUGCCAAGAAUAUGCAGAACAGACCGUGAAGUUCGUUCCCCCGUCACAGUCAUUUAGAAUUGUACCCAAAAUUGGGUCGGCUUUUGAGUAUCUGAAGCGUUUGGCAGCGAAGAGGGCUGGGCAAUUGAAACGGCCUACCGACCUGGCCUACACCCAUACACGUGCAACUGGGAGGGUGGCUCACACGGAUAGGAAACCGCACGGUCCCUACACGAUGCCCCCAGUAUUCAUGUGCUGCCAAAGGAGGGGAAACUAAAUCAAGGUAAUCUUGACAAAACCGCUUGAGAAGAAACCAAGUCAAGGCCAAAAGCUUUUCAAGUGGUGCGAAGCAUCAGCGAGGGCAAACCACAUCAAAAUCAAGUCAAAACCUAGACAAACACACUUGUUAGCUUAUCAUGUUACCCAUGUUAAGCGUAUUAAUGGCAGAGAAGACGGCGACAACGAUGACAACAACGACAAUAAAAGGGCGUCAGCCAGGCAAACAAACAAGCAAACAAACAUCGAGGAUGAAGUAAAAUAUUAAUAGCCAGCUACUAAAAUAGCACGAGCCUGAAUCCAACACAAAGAAUCAGCAUGGGGGCCACCAAGGAGCCAACGAGUUUUGAGGUCUCCCGAAACCGGAGGACAGUGGGUGGCUGGGCUGCUGGUGGUUAAGCCACUUGGUAAGUCCUGGCUCAGACAGAACUUGGUGAGCAGCCAACCAUGAUGCCAUCGCCCACAUGCCUGUUUGUGGAACUCUGGCUUAACCUCAGAAUUGUGUGCGGAUGGCUGUUAAUGUUUCAUCUGGGCUGAAACCAGACUGCGUAAUUAUUACUAUAAUUUAUGCGGAAAUAGUUUGUUUCGAAAUUGAGAAGUACAUCUGUAUGUACCCGCGAACUCCUGGGAAGGCCAACUUUGUUUGUCAAAAUAA